rnacentral:rRNA from 1 species
GACGAAGGGGGCUAGCGUUAAUCGGAAUUACUGGGCGUAAAGCGUGCGCAGGCGGUUCGUGAUGUCUGGUGUGAAAGCCCCGGGCUUAACCUGGGAAUUGCAUUGGAAACUAGCGGGCUGGAGUGUGGCAGAGGGGGGUGGAAUUCCACGUGUAGCAGUGAAAUGCGUAGAGAUGUGGAGGAACACCGAUGGCGAAGGCAGCCCCCUGGGCUAACACUGACGCUCAUGCACGAAAGCGUGGGGAGCAAACAGG